GCUUGUCUAGAGUCCUGUUUGCAAAGGAUGGCAGCCAAUGGGUUAUGUCUGAUCAUCGAUUCUUCCCACACAGCAGGAAAGGAGGCGAUUAUGACCAGAUCUGGCAACCGAAACCUAAUGAAACUUGAGAUCAACUUGCUGCCACUGAAUAGAACCCUAUGGAGCUGAGGAAAUCACUACUGCC